CUUUAUAAAAAUAGAGUCAAAUCCUAUGGAAUGUUUUAAAUUUGGCAUUUGUCACUCUGCCUAAUUCUCUGGAUAUUCCCCCAGGUUGCUACACGUAUCAUCAGUGGAUUGUUUUUGUUAGUAUGCAGGGAUCACGCGGUGCUUAACCAUUUACCCACUGGAGGAUAUCUGGAUUGAGUUUUGUUCCCACUGACAAGAGGGUAUUACAUUUUGCUGACAUCAGUGACCUGGAGUCGCUGAAUUAUUCCCUUCUUCGGUUUACAGAGGAAUAAACCAGUAAUUAAUUAUAUAUCAGAACACGAGAAUCGACCUGGCAAUAAUGUACAGGAAAAGAAUCACAACAUGGCAAAUCCUGAUCCACCAGGGGGAGCAGUUCACCAGGACAAAAACGAACCUUCCCCAAAGGAAGUUGCUGAAGGCGCCUCUUCCUCUCAAUUUACACAGCUGACAACGACCCUGAUUUUUAUCCUUUCUACUAGAUGUGGCACUCAUAUACCGCACACUGAUUUCAAAUGCCUGCCCUCAUGGUGGUGGGAUACCGUCACAGACUUGUGUGCCCACAAGCAGGCUUUUCUGUAGGAUUUGAAAUUCAUCAGUCCUCGUAAUUUAUAGAAAUUCCUUGUUUUAUUAUAGGAAGUAAAUUAGUCCCUGCUUCUACAGCAGCUUAUAUGGACAAAACAGAAUAGAUUCACCAAAUUAUUUAUUUUAUGCUUAUUCUGGUGCAGAGAUGGAAUUGAGAAGCUGAUCUUUCAGGGAGGGAGGAGAGAGAGGAAUAGAUAGAGACUGACGCAGGUCUUGAAGCCAGGCAUCUAUUGCAGCUUGCUGAUAUCCCUGCCUCUUUCUUCAGCAAUCCUUUUUCCUUCCCUUUAACCAAAGCCCUGGGGCUGGGAAGGAAAACAGCUGUCAGAGAAAGGCCAGUGUUGGUGAUAAGUCCUUUGUGUGCAAGCUCAGACUUGAGACCAGCCUGUCCAAACAAAACAGCUGUGGAUUCCGCCAGACCUGUGUAUGGGCACAGAGUGAGCCCUGGACCUUCUGGCAAAAAAGGCACCCAGAGGAGUACACUAGUCCCUGUAGCAUUUUGCAAGUGGUUACACAAUCCAUGGAUGGAAUUUCCCUAAGGGAACCGUUUCACAAAGGACCUGGUCCUUUGACCCCUUACUCUAAAGAUUUGAUGUUUAAGGUGUAGACACUUCCUCAUGGCUUGAGAACUUCAGAAAUGCAGAAACUUAGGCUCCAUUCUGGACCUUUUAA